rnacentral:tRNA from 1 species
GUUUUUAUAAUUUAAUAAAAAUAUUGAUUUUGUAAAUCAAAAAUAAGAUUUUCUUUAAAAGCA